UACGGAGGGGGCUAGCGUUGUUCGGAAUUACUGGGCGUAAAGCGCACGUAGGCGGCUUUGUAAGUUAGAGGUGAAAGCCCGGAGCUCAACUCCGGAAUUGCCUUUAAGACUGCAUCGCUCGAAUCAUGGAGAGGUGAGUGGAAUUCCGAGUGUAGAGGUGAAAUUCGUAGAUAUUCGGAAGAACACCAGUGGCGAAGGCGACUCACUGGACAUGUAUUGACGCUGAGGUGCGAAAGCGUGGGGAGCAAACAGGAUUAGAAACCCGAGUAGU
rnacentral:rRNA from 1 species